rnacentral:rRNA from 1 species
UACGAACCGUGCGAACGUUGUUCGGAAUCACUGGGCGUAAAGGGCGCGUAGGCGGCUUUUCAAGUCAGGUGUGAAAUCUGGCAGCUCAACUGUCGAAGUGCCCUUGAUACUGAUGAGCUCGAGGGAGGUAGGGGUGUGUGGAACUUCCGGUGGAGCGGUGAAAUGCGUUGAUAUCGGAAGGAACGCCGGUGGCGAAAGCGACGCACUGGACCUCUUCUGACGCUGAGGCGCGAAAGCCAGGGGAGCAAACGGG